GACGAACGCUGGCGGCGUGCCUAACACAUGCAAGUCGAACGGAGCUGAGAGAAGCUUGCUUUUCUUAGCUUAGUGGCGAACGGGUGAGUAACGCGUGAGUAACCUGCCCUGGAGUGGGGGACAACAGUUGGAAACGACUGCUAAUACCGCAUAAGCCCACGAUCCGGCAUCGGCUUGAGGGAAAUGGAUUUAUUCGCUUCAGGAUGGACUCGCGUCCAAUUAGCUAGUUGGUGAGGUAACGGCCCACCAAGGCGACGAUUGGUAGCCGGACUGAGAGGUUGAACGGCCACAUUGGGAAUGAGACACGGCCCAGACUCCUACGGGAGGCAGCAGUGGGGGAUAUUGCACAAUGGGGGAAACCCUGAUGCAGCGACGCCGCGUGGAGGAAGAAGGUUUUCGGAUUGUAAACUCCUGUCGUUAGGGACGAUAAUGACGGUACCUAACAAGAAAGCACCGGCUAACUACGUG
rnacentral:rRNA from 1 species